AUGGCGACCGGCGCACGGGUGAGUAACACGUAUCCAACCUGCCNNACUCGGGGAUAGCCUUUCGAAAGAAAGAUUAAUACCCGAUGGCAUAGUUCUUCCGCAUGGUAGAACUAUUAAAGAAUUUCGGUCAUCGAUGGGGAUGCGUUCCAUUAGCUUGUUGGCGGGGUAACGGCCCACCAAGGCAUCGAUGGAUAGGGGUUCUGAGAGGAAGGUCCCCCACAUUGGAACUGAGACACGGUCCAAACUCCUACGGGAGGCAGCAG
rnacentral:rRNA from 1 species